GCUUGCGGUUAAAAAGCUCGUAGUUGGAUUUCAGUCUAGGAAGGUUAACUCGCCGAAAGGUUGUACGCUGAUUGUUCCUCAGACUUCGUCAGAAGCUCGAUGCUGCACUUAACUGUGUGGUACGUAUGUGUCUGACCUUUUACCUUGGAGGAAAGUAGAGCGUUUCAGGCAGGCUACCCGAGCUUAGAAUACAUUACGCAUGGAAUAAUGAUAUGGAACUCGGUUCGAUUUCGUUGGUUCUAGAGCUGAGGUGAUGAUCAAUAGGAACAGGCGAAGGUAUUCGUACUUGAGAGUGAGGAGUGAAAUCCGAUGAUCUCUUAAAGACGAUCCGAGGCGAAAGCAUUUGUCAAGGAUGUUUUCAUUGAUCAAGAACGAAAGUUAGGGGAUCGAAGACGAUUAGAUACCGUCCUAGUCCUAACCGUAAACAAUGCCGACUAGAGAUUAGACGCUGUCAGUGUUACGAUACGUCUAGCAUCUUCAGAGAAAUCAAAGUCUUUGGGCUCUGGGGGGAGUAUGGUCGCAAGGCUGAAACUUAAAAGGAAUUGACGGAAGGACACCACCAGGAGUGGAGCCUGCGGCUUAAUUUGACUCAACACGAGAAAUCUUAUCAGGUCCACACAUUGG
rnacentral:rRNA from 1 species